AGCAGAUAUGGGGUCUUUAAGGGUCAGGGGCAUCCCUGCGCCGGGCAUGGAGCCGAAGGCUGGAUUUCAUUCCCCACUUGAACUGUGAAGAAUGUAUUGUGGGAGGGGCAGGCAGAAGUCCAUGCCCAGAGGCCCCCAGAAGCAUGAGGCCGGGGACUCCAGCCCUGCAGAAAACCCCAGAACAAUGAUGUCUGUCCUCAGUGGGGCCAUGUGGAGUGCCACCUCGAGGAGUGCCAGGCCCUCUCCUGCCCCCAUGGCUGGGCGAAGGUGCCCCAGGCUGACAGCUGCUGUGAGCGAUGCCAAGCUCCCACCCAGUCCUGCGUGCACCAGGGCCGUGAGGUGGCCUCUGGAGAGCGCUGGACUGUGGACACCUGCACCAGCUGCUCCUGCAUGGCGGGCACCGUGCGUUGCCAGAGCCAGCGCUGCUCACCGCUCUCGUGUGGCCCCGACAAGGCCCCUGCCCUGAGUCCUGGCAGCUGCUGCCCCCGCUGCCUGCCUCGGCCCGCUUCCUGCAUGGCCUUCGGAGACCCCCAUUACCGCACCUUCGACGGCCGCCUGCUGCACUUCCAGGGCAGUUGCAGCUAUGUGCUGGCCAAGGACUGCCACAGCGGGGACUUCAGUGUGCACGUGACCAAUGAUGACCGGGGCCGGAGCGGUGUGGCCUGGACCCAGGAGGUGGCGGUGCUGCUGGGAGACGUGGCCGUGCGGCUGCUGCAGGACGGGGCAGUCACGGUGGAUGGGCACCCGGUGGCCUUGCCCUUCCUGCAGGAGCCGCUGCUGUAUGUGGAGCUGCGAGGACACACUGUGAUCCUGCACGCCCAGCCCGGGCUCCAGGUGCUGUGGGAUGGGCAGUCCCAGGUGGAGGUGAGCGUACCUGGCUCCUACCAGGGCCGGACUUGUGGGCUCUGUGGGAACUUCAAUGGCUUUGCCCAGGACGAUCUGCAGGGCCCUGAGGGGCUGCUCCUGCCCUCGGAGGCUGCGUUUGGGAAUAGCUGGCAGGUGCAAGAGGGCCGCGGGUAUCCCCCAGGGCUGGAGCUGCCCCCUGUGCUGCUGCAGAUGGAGUGGAGCUGGCGGGCCCAGGAGCAGGUAAGGGCUGGCUGGGGGUGUGGCUGAGGCCAGGGUGGGUGCCCCCUCACGCCCUGGCACCCCAUCUUCCUGCAGCUCCUGUGGGACUUGGAACUGCUGACUGGUGUGGAGCUGGGCCUCUUCUGGCCACCCCAGGCCCAGUUUUUCGGUCCGAGGGGCCAGGCCCAGCAAGCAUGGAGCCAGUGCUGUCAGCCAGGUGGUAGCACAGGUGGGGACCCUGAGCAGCCGAUACUGAAGGCCAGCUGUGAUGGCUCACGCCUGUAAUCCCAGCACUUUGGGAGGCUGAGGCAGGUGGAUCGCUUGAACCCAGGAGUUUGAGACCAGAAUGGGCCACACAGAAAUUGGGAUGGCGGUUCUUGUUAAGCUCCCCUAUGCCGCCCAGCAGGAAACCAGUCACCGUGUCCUCGUCUCCGAUCACUGCGAUGAGCUUACCCCUCCCCGCCAUCCCUGCAGCCGGGCAGAGCUCACCCUAGAGCACCAGAAGCCACUGAAACCCCGCCUCCGCCGCACGGCGCCCCGUCGGCCUCAACCCCCACCCUUCGAGCAUGCGCAGUCCUCCCAGCCGCAUUCCGGGACAUGCGCAUUAACAGCAACACGGCCUCCAUGUGAAUACGCCUGCGCCGUAAAGACAGGCCCGAACCAGGGGACUACGAUUCCCAGAAGACCGCGCGGCACCACGUCCUUCGCGGGCAUUCAUUCGUUCAUUCACUCGUUCCUUGGUUCAUUCGUUCAACAAGCGCUUUGGACCUGACGCUGUUAGACGCCGAGACCCCAGAGAAGAGACGCAGUUACUCAUCUCAAGGGCAGGAUCUGGGUCUUUAUCGUGUAUGUAUGUGUGUAACUAUGACACAUAGUUCACAAGUAACACACGUUUGUUCAGUUAAAGGAAUGCAAAAGUU
rnacentral:sRNA from 1 species